GGUUCAAACGCUGCUGCCGACGCGCACUGUAUAGCUGCAUAAGCUGCUCGUAGGGCACGUCCAGCAUCUGGUCCAGGCCCACACCGCGAUUCAAGGGGUACAUGUACAGUUUUGUUACACUGCAUAUUGAUGAAGUCUGGACUUUUAGUGUACCCAUCACCCAAGUUAUGAACAUUGUACCCAAGAGAAAAAAAGGUUUACCACAGUGGCUCAAGGAAAACGGAACCAGAGUAAGACAGUUUCUACUUGGACUUGGGGAACCAGCAAACUCAUUCACUUACAAUCAAGAACAAACCGAUUAAAUUGAAUAAAGGUCACUCAAAGGAGCCAAGCCCCUUUGUCAAAUCAGGAGCUCCAUCAGCCAAUCAGGAACCCAGAUGCCAGCGUGGGAGUUUGUCAGUGGAAAUAACAUUGCAUGACUUCCAAGUCUGGUUUCUUCAUUUGCAAGAUAUCAACCCAAUAGGAUUGUGACUGAAAUCAAAUGAGGCACCCAAGUCUAAUAUGAGAAAAACAUGAGAAAAAUUCCAGGAGGGGGACAUUCUACAAAAUACCUGACCAGUACAUCUCAAAAUUGUCACGAUCAUCAACAAGGAAAGAUUGAGAUACUGUCAUAGCCAAGAGACGCCAAAGGAAAAAUGACAACUAAAUGUAAUGUGGUAUCCUGGAUAAGAUCCUGGAAUGGAAUAGAAAAUGGGCAUUGGGUAGAAACUGAAUAAAGUAGAGACUUUAGUUAAUAACAGUAUGUUGAUGUUGGUUUAAUAAUUGUAACAAAGGUACCAUAUUAAUGUAAGAUGUUAACAAUCAGAGUAACUGGAUUCAGGGUAUAUGGAAACUUUCCAUUCUAUUUUCUUAAUUUUUCUAUGAAUCUAAAACCAAAAACUAAAGUCUACUUAAAAAAAAAA
ensembl:lncRNA novel transcript